GGCAUGUACCAGGCCUCCAAACUUGUGUAUAGUAACAGAGUACAUGUCUGGAGGAAGCGUAUAUGACUACUUACACAAACAGAAGGGCAGUUUCAAGUUCCCUACUUUGCUCAAAGUAGCAAUUGAUGUGUCAAAAGGGAUGAAUUACCUGCACCAGAAUAACAUCAUACAUAGAGACUUGAAGGCUGCCAAUCUACUGAUGGAUGAAAAUGAAGUUGUUAAAGUGGCUGAUUUUGGUGUUGCCAGAGUGAAGGCACAAACUGGUGUCAUGACGGCAGAGACAGGGACUUAUAGAUGGAUGGCCCCUGAGAUUAUAGAACACAAGCCAUAUGAUCACAAAGCAGAUAUUUUCAGUUUUGGGGUUCUGUUAUGGGA
rnacentral:misc_RNA from 1 species